UACGGAGGGUGCAAGCGUUAUCCGGAUUCACUGGGUUUAAAGGGUGCGUAGGUGGGCUGGUAAGUCCGUGGUGAAAUCUCCAAGCUUAACUUGGAAACUGCCGUGGAUACUAUUAGUCUUGAAUAUUGUGGAGGUAAGCGGAAUAUGUCAUGUAGCGGUGAAAUGCUUAGAUAUGACAUAGAACACCGAUAGCGAAGGCAGCUUGCUACACAAUUAUUGACACUGAGGCACGAAAGCGUGGGGAUCAAACAGG
rnacentral:rRNA from 1 species